AGAGUUUGAUCCUGGCUCAGAAUGAACGUUGGCGGCGUGGAUUAGGCAUGCAAGUCGCACGCUUUAUGUAGCAAUACAUGAAGAGUGGCGUAAGGGAGAGUAAUGCAUGGUUAGCUACCCCCGGGACUGGGAUAGCGGCGGGAAACUGCCGGUAAUACCAGAUGACAUCUUCGGAUCAAACGUGUAAAUCGGCCCGGGGAGGUGACCAUGUCCUACCAGCUAGUUGGCGGUGUAACGGACCACCAAGGCUAAGACGGGUAUGGGGCGUGAGAGCGUGCCCCCACUCACUGGGACUGAGACACUGCCCAGACACCUACGGGUGGCUGCAGUCGAGAAUCUUCGGCAAUGGGCGCAAGCCUGACCGAGCGACGCCGCGUGCGGGAUGAAGGCCUUCGGGUUGUAAACCGCUGUCGUAGGGGAGGAAGGUCUGGUGUAUAGCCAGGCUUGACCGAUCCUAGGAGGAAGGGCCGGCUAAUCUCGUGCCAGCAGCCGCGGUAAUACGAGAGGCCCAAACGUUAUUCGGAAUUACUGGGCUUAAAGAGUUCGUAGGCGGUAUGACAAGUAGGGUGUGAAAGCCCUCGGCUUAACCGAGGAAUUGCGCUCUAAACUGUCGUACUUGAGGAACCUAGAGGUGAGCAGAACUGAUGGUGGAGCGGUGAAAUGCGUUGAUAUCAUCAGGAAUACCGGAGGCGAAGGCGGCUCACUGGGGGUUUUCUGACGCUGAGGAACGAAAGCCAGGGUAGCGAACGGGAUUAGAUACCCUAGUAGUCC
rnacentral:rRNA from 1 species